CCUACGGGAGGCAGCAGUGAGGAAUAUUGGUCAAUGGCCGGAAGUCUGAACCAGCCAAGCCGCGUGAAGGACGAAGGUGCCAAGCAUUGUAAACUUCUUUUGUCAAGGGACAAAAUCAGGCUCUAGAGCCUGACCGAGGGUACUUGAAGAAAAAGCAUCGGCUAACUCCGUGCCAGCAGCCGCGGUAAUACGGAGGAUGCGAGCGUUAUCCGGAUUUAUUGGGUUUAAAGGGUGCGCAGGCGGAAGAUCAAGUCAGCGGUAAAAUUGAGAGGCUCAACCUCGUCGAGCCGUUGGAACUGGUUGUCUUGAGUGAGUGAGAGGUAUGCGGAAUGCGUGGUGUAGCGGUGAAAUGCAUAGAUAUCACGCAGAACUCCGAUUGCGAAGGCAGCAUACCGGCGCUCAACUGACGCUCAUGCACGAAAGUGUGGGUAUCGAACAGGAUUAGAUACCCUAGUAGUC
rnacentral:rRNA from 1 species